AACGAACGCUGGCGGCAGGCCUAACACAUGCAAGUCGAGCGAGGACUUCGGUUCUAGCGGCGGACGGGUGAGUAACGCGUGGGAAUGUGCCCUUCUCUACGGAAUAGCCCUGGGAAACUGGGAGUAAUACCGUAUACGCCCUAUCGGGGAAAGAUUUAUCGGAGAAGGAUCAGCCCGCGUUGGAUUAGGUAGUUGGUGGGGUAAUGGCCUACCAAGCCGACGAUCCAUAGCUGGUUUGAGAGGAUGAUCAGCCACGCUGGGACUGAGACACGGCCCAGACUCCUACGGGAGGCAGCAGUGGGGAAUCUUAGACAAUGGGGGCAACCCUGAUCUAGCCAUGCCGGGUGAGUGAUGAAGGCCUUAGGGUUGUAAAGCUCUUUCAGAUGGGAAGAUAAUGACGGUACCAGCAGAAGAAGCACCGGCUAACUCCGUG
rnacentral:rRNA from 1 species